CCCGUAGUUGACGACGUGUGUUCAGUGAAAUCGAGUAGGGCGGGACACGUGAUAUCCUGUCUGAAUAUGGGGGGACCAUCCUCCAAGGCUAAAUACUACUGACUGACCGAUAGUGAACCAGUACCGUGAGGGAAAGGCGAAAAGAACCCCUGUGAGGGGAGUGAAAUAGAACCUGAAACCGUGUACGUACAAGCAGUAGGAGCAGGCUUUGUCCUGUGACUGCGUACCUUUUGUAUAAUGGGUCAGCGACUUAUAUUCAGUGGCAAGGUUAACCAUCUAGGGGAGCCGUAGGGAAACCGAGUCUUAACUGGGCGUUCAGUCUCUGGAUAUAGACCCGAAACCAGGUGAUCUAGCCAUGGGCAGGUUGAAGGUUGAGUAACAUCAACUGGAGGACCGAACCGACUAAUGUUGAAAAAUUAGCGGAUGACUUGUGGCUAGGGGUGAAAGGCCAAUCAAACCUGGAGAUAGCUGGUUCUCCCCGAAAGCUAUUUAGGUAGCGCCUCGGACGAAUACUACUGGGGGUAGAGCACUGUUAAGGCUAGGGGGUCAUCCCGACUUACCAACCCUUUGCAAACUCCGAAUACCAGUAAGUACUAUCCGGGAGACACACGGCGGGUGCUAACGUCCGUCGUGGAGAGGGAAACAACCCAGACCGCCAGCUAAGGUCCCAAAUUACUACUAAGUGGGAAACGAUGUGGGAAGGCUCAGACAGCCAGGAUGUUGGCUUAGAAGCAGCCAUCAUUUAAAGAAAGCGUAAUAGCUCACUGGUCGAGUCGGCCUGCGCGGAAGAUGUAACGGGGCUAAGUAGUAAACCGAAGCUGCGGCAAUGUGCUUUUGCACAUUGGGUAGGGGAGCGUUCUGUAAGCGGUUGAAGGUGUGUGGUAACGCAUGCUGGACGUAUCAGAAGUGCGAAUGCUGACAUGAGUAACGAUAAAGGGGGUGAAAAACCUCCUCGCCGGAAGACCAAGGGUUCCUGUCCAACGUUAAUCGGGGCAGGGUAAGUCGACCCCUAAGGCGAGGCCGAAAGGCGUAGUCGAUGGGAAACGGGUUAAUAUUCCCGUACUUCUUACAAUUGCGAUGGGGGGACGGAGAAGGCUAGGUGGGCCUGGCGACGGUUGUCCAGGUUCAAGUGCGUAGGCUU
rnacentral:rRNA from 2 species